rnacentral:rRNA from 1 species
UACAGAGGGUGCGAGCGUUGUCCGGAAUCACUGGGCGUAAAGGGCGCGUAGGCGGCCUGGUAAGUAGGGGGUGAAAUCCUGCGGCUCAACCGCAGGGCUGCCUUCUAAACUGUCAGGCUGGAGCACGGUAGAGGCAGAUGGAAUUCCCGGUGUAGCGGUGGAAUGCGUAGAGAUCGGGAAGAACACCAGUGGCGAAGGCGGCUCACUGGCCCGAUACUGACGCUGAGGCACGAAAGCGUGGGGAGCAAACAGG